CCCCUGCCCCUGCCCCUGCCCCUGCACCAGCCCCUGCCCCAAGUGGACGCUAAACAGGUGAAAAGUACAACUUAAACCGUUUUUGGGGGUAUCUGUACUUUACUUUACUAUUUAUAUAUUUCUGACAACUUUUACUUUUGCUUCACAAAAUUCCUGAAGAAAAUAAUGUACUUUUUACCCCAUACAUUGUCCUUGACUUCCAAAAAUUACCUUUUGAAUGCUUAGCAGGACAGGAAAAUUGACAAAUUCCUGCGCUCAUCAAGAGAACAUCCCUGGUCAUCCCUACUGCCUCUGAUCUGGUGGACUCACAAAACACAAAAGCUUAGUUUAUAUAGAUGUCUGAGUGUUGGAGUGUACCCCCGCCUAUCCGUAAAUAAAGUAAACAAGAAAAUGGUGGCGUCUGGUUUGUUUAAUAUAAGGUUUUUGUAAUGAUUUAUACUUUUACUGUUGAUACUUAAGUAUAUUUGAGCAAUUACAUAUACUUUUGAUACUUACUUACAGUGGGGGAAAAAAGUAUUUAGUCAGCCACCAAUUGUGCAAGUUCUCCCACUUAAAAAUAUGAGAGAGGCCUGUAAUUUUCAUCAUAGGUACACUUCAACUAUGCCAGAAAAAAUGAGGAAAACAAAUCCAGAAAAUCAUAUUGUAGGAUUUUUAAUUAAUUUCUUUGCAAAUUAUGGUGGAAAAUAAGUAUUUUUUUAUUCUAAGUAUAUGUAUAUCCUAUAAAUUCAUUAAUUCGCUUUUCUGUCUAUCAGGUAUUUCAUGGAAUUUCAUGGAACUCACAGACUAUGAAGUGUGAUUCCUUUAUGCAUUUCUGUUUAAUAAACACAUUAAUAUUUUAAGCUCAAUUGUAUGUCUAUCCAGUCCUCUGAUGAAUGCUCAUUAAGUUUAUGAAAAUUGCAAGAAAUCUAUACAAAGUGUGGUACAUUACAUUACGUUAUUUAAUUAAAGAAAAAUUGUACAUUAUAUUGCAUGACAGGAGAAAUCAAAAUAAAGUCUGGUACUUGAGCUAUAUUGUAUAAAUUGAGAAAUUAAAGUUAAACAUUACAAUGAAAUGUUUUCAUUUAGCCUCCUCAAUGCCCCAAAACAGGUAGAUGAAUCAUCGACAGUUUCAAAACCUUUUAAUUUAGCUAAAGUUUCCUAACACUGAUGAGACAUUGUUCUUUGUGGGCACUGUGGAUAUACAGAUUUGUAGGAUUACCCACCAAAUGCCUAAUUUCAUCACAUUUUACAUCUCCAGGACACAGGACACACCAUUGAUCAUGGGACUUAAGCUCAUUGGUGCACUGAAGGCUCAUUGGUGCACUGAAGGCACAUUGGUGCACUGGAAGCUAAUUGACUGUGGAAUGAAAUGAAAUAAAAAAUAUAUUUUUGCAGUUAAGUUACAAUACGGCAACAGUGUUAAAAGUUUAGUAGCAACAUUUCAAGCAUUUUACAUCUUCAUUUGAACAGAAUUCCAUGGUGACCAUGAAACUACUAUUCCCAGUGAUGUGCCUAAUUGGACUUGGUUCCUCCAUUCCUGUGUCUGAGAAACAUGAUCGAGAGGAGCGCUCAGCUAGCGAUGUGGUGCAGUAAUAUUUAGCACUAUCUAUUG